UACGGAGGAGGCAAGCGUUAUCCGGAAUUAUUGGGCGUAAAGAGUCCGUAGGUGGGUAACCAAGUCAGCUGUUAAAUAGUGAAGCUUAACUUCAUAGAGGCGGCUGAAACUGGUUGUCUAGAGUGUGGUAGGGGUAGAGGGAAUUUCCAGUGUAGCGGUGAAAUGCGUAGAUAUUGGAAAGAACACCGGUGGCGAAAGCGCUCUACUGGGCCUGCACUGACACUGAGGGGCGAAAGCUAGGGGAGCGAAAGGG
rnacentral:rRNA from 1 species